UUUGAAAACUCCAUUAAAUACUUGUGAAUGGAUUUUGUAAAGCUUCCCACUUUCGUUCUUCUUUGGAAAAUUUGGUGGUUGUUCGUGUGAGAUGAGUUUGUGGUGUGUGUGAACUGCAUGUGAGUUGAGGUGCUGGAGUUUUGUUUGAAGGAAGUUGUUGUUCAUGGAGGUGUUUUCGUGGACUUGCAUGUGGAAGGGUGGUUGUUGGAGUUCAUUGGAAGUGUAGAGAUAAGGUGUCAUAGAUGAAAGAAAUGACAAUGGAGGUUUGAAGGAUGAAGAUAAUCAAUUAUAUGGGUAAUAAUCGAUUAUGCUUCAAAAUGUAGCACAUAUAAUCAAUUAUCAAAAUGGGAAGGUAUGUACUUAAGAUGCCCAACACAUAGAAGUAGUGCAAAAAUGGAAUCAUGGUGGUAGAAUGAUUUGAAAGAAGAAUGCAAGGAAGGGAGAAUAAGUAAUGGUUUUGAUGAUAACAUAAUAUGGAGAGUGAGAAAUGAAAAGAAUUAUCUUCUGAGAAGAUAAAUGAAAUGCAGAUGUUGCUCUCACACAAAGAUUUCUUACAUUGUUUCUUGGGAGAAUUACUAUUCAUGAAAGUUAAUUUUGUAGUAUAAUAUACCCAUAUAGCAAACAUGUGUAUACUAUUAUAGUAUUGAUUAACCUCAUUUUGGAAGCGUUGUGCAGCCAAAUCAAUGGUUUUUGCUCGGAUGAGAAGAUAUAGUUUGUGUACUUGGGGUUGGGUUCUCAGAAUCUUUUCCAAGAAAACUGCACAUGUAAUAGACAAAUUCAGUGGCAGGUGCAAAACUUCAAAUUAUUUGUUAUGGAUGCAUUGUUUGUUUAGUAGUACCUUUUGCUAAAAAGCCCGUUGUGCCAGUCAUUAAAAUGGUCUUUCCCUUGAAGAACUCAGACAUCUUUUUUGACUAACUGCUAUAAGUAGAGAUUCUAGAAGAAAUCUAAGAAUAAGAGAACCAUAAUAUAAAUAUAAAAAAAUUAAUUUUAUCUUUCAUUCUAACAAACAUCCAAACCUUUUAAAGCCUUUUUUUUUUCCUUUGACUUGCCAAAGAUUUGGAGAAGAUAGAGGUUGUUGAAAUGAUAAGAUGUAUGAGAAACAGAGUUAUAUGGUGAAGAUGAUCAUUUAGGAAUGCUUUCUACUUGUACAAUAUAAGUAGAUGAGUAUAUAUAUAUAGAAAGAAAAUAAGAAACUAUAAUGUCACCUACCAGUGCCAUCCAACCCAAUAAAUGGAGUAAUUUUGCCGAUGUAGAAUGUCUUUAAAAUUUUGCCAUUUUUUUCCAAAUUACUUUCUCUUUUAUAAAAUAAUAUUUUUUUAUAGUAGAUUUUUAUUUUUUCUUGUGGUUGUAAAGGCUCCAUUGAUGAACCAAAUAUUAGUUUUCUCAUCUUUCUAUAACUGCUUUUAUGUAUAGAUAGUUUCUGUAUUGAAGUUAGUGAUUUAAACUCUUCAUUUGUUUUUGAAAUAUAUGAAAAAUCAUUUAAAUAUUAAAUAUUUUGAUAUAAUUUGUUUUUAUAUUUACAAUAUUUAUUAAUAUACAUUUUUCGUUUUCUACUUUCCAACUUUUUACGAUAAAUUAUUUCUCAUUCAUUUUUAUUACUGAUUUAAGAAAAUGAUAAAUUACUUCUUUAAUAAUUAUUGAUACUAUUGUCUUGAGAUAUAUUUUAAUAGAUAAAAAUUAUAAUAUAUUAUAAUUUAGUUAAAAUAUCAUACUUAAUAAUAAAUAUAUUUAGUUAACAAAAAUAUCAUUUUUUUUAUAUUAAAUUUAUGAAAGAGAUAUAAGAUUGGUUAUUUUUGUUUUCAAAUUUGGGUCAUAAAAAAAUACCUUUUAUAAAAUAUAUUAUCUAUUUUAUAUUAUUUAUUAAUAUUUUGUAUUUAUUUAAUAUUACAUGUUUAUGUGUUUUGGUCCAUGACUAGUUAUCAGAAUUUGGUUCCAUCUUUCGUAUGCUGACGAAUAUCUCUUUCAACCCAUACAGUACCAUAUAAUUGCACUAUACAAAAUUUGUUCCUAUAGUCUGCAUUUUAUUUGGAUUUUAAUUUUUGUAAAUGGUAUGGUUCCAUUUGGUUUUCUUGCACCUGUAAAUAUAUAUUGAGUUUUUUUAAUAUUUAUUUUUAUAAUAAUAAUUUACUCUAUUAAUUAAAUAAUGGUUAAUCAGUAAAAAUAAGAAAAAUUAAAUUUUAAGAUAAAUUAGGUUUAGUGCAAGUUGCAAAAAUAGUUUGUAAGUAGAAUUGGUUCAAUCUUAUCUACAUGAUCUAAAAGACUCUUUUGGAUUAAAAUAUAUAGAUAAAAAAGUGAAAGAAAAUUAAAAUUUGUAAGAAUGUGAUAUAUGUAGUUAAAAUAAUAUUUUUUUAAUUGAUAAAAUAAUAACAUUAUAAAUUUGUUCUUAUAUUUAAAAAUAAUAAAAAUAAAAUAUGAUUAAUAUAUUUAUGAAUUUUAAUUAUUUAUAAUUAAAAUACUGUUUUUAUAAUGUGUGUUAAUAUUAUUACAUAUUAUGAGAUAUUAUAAAUAUUGUUACAUAUUUCAUAUUUAUGUAAUGGGCUUAAUUUCUUUUCCUAUAUAAACAUAAUCUUAUGUGACCAGAGAUUUAUCCUACUCUUUCUUUUAUUUUAAUAUGGUAUUUAGAGCAUACGAUUAGGGUUCAAUUUUUAUUGGUGAACCCACAGUUCAUUGGAAUUUUCCAACCACCGCCUCGUCGGACCUUCGCCGGAGAUGUCACCGGAAUAUCACCGGAUACGUCGUCGGAAUCUCAUCGGAGCCUUCAUUUUUGUUGGUGCCGCCAAUUGUCAGUGACUAUAUUUGUCCUUAUCUUCUAUGGCUUCUUCCGUUCCCUCUUCCGCUUCCGUUGCCAUCGUGGACCAUACUUCAAUUGAUACCCCAGGCCAACCUACUAUUUUCAAUGAAUUUCUUAAAUGGUAUGAGGAUCGUUAGAACCCUAGUUCCACUGCUUUUGUUGCACAUUCAUGUACAUCUUUUAUUGGCCUCACUCUCUCUAAUUCCCUUAGCCCUUGGGUUCUAGAUUUAGGUGCCACAUAUCACAUUACUGGUAAUCAAUCUUUUUUCUCUUCCCUAUCUACUACGAGUUAUUUACCUUCGGUCACCAUGGCCAAUGGAUAUAGGGUACCUCACAUGGUGUUGGCACUAUUAAUCUUUUCCCUUCUUUAUCUAUUGAUAAUGUUCUUUAUGUCCCUGGGUCUCCAUUUAACUUAUUAUCAAUUAGUCGUCUCACUCGUUCCCUUCAUUGUGUUAUUUCUUUUACCAAAGGUUUUGUUUCUUUACCGGACAGGAGUUCGGGACGGAUGAUUGGCAUCGAAUGUGAGUCUUAUGGACUUUAUCAACUACAAACCUCUACCCAUGUUGGUGCAAUUAUGGAUUCUCCAUCUCUCAUUCAUGCUCGGUUGGGUCAUCCUAGUCUUGCCAAGAUGCGGCAGCUUGUUCCAAGUUUGUCUAAUAUAUCUAGUUUAUCGUGUGAGUUGUGUCAGUUAGGGAAGCACAUUCGUAGUUCUUUUCCCAGUAGUGUCUCACAACGUGCUUCAUCUCCUUUUGCCUUAGUUCACUCUGACAUUUAGGGACCAAGUCAUAUUAAGUCUAGUUUAGGAUCUCAGUAUUUUGUUACUUUUAUUGAUGAUUAUUUAAGAAAUACUUGGGUGUUUUUAAUGAAAAACCGUUAUGAGUUGUUUUCUAUAUUUCAAAUAUUUUACAAUGAAAUUAAAAAUCAAUUUGGGAUUUCCAUUCGAAUUUUGCACAGUGAUAAUGGAUGUGAGCAUCUUUCUCAUUCUUUUAAAAAAUUUAUGGCUUCUCAUGAUAUUCUUCAUCAAACUUCAUGUGCUUAUACACCUCAACAAAAUGGGAUAACUGAGCGCAAGAAUAGACAUCUUGUUGAAACAACUCGUACUAUUUUAAUCCAUGGUGAUGUUCCUCAAUGUUUUUGGGGGUGAUGCUGUUCUUAGUGAAUGUUAUCUCAUUAAUCGCAUGCCAUCUUCAGUUUUAGAUAACAAAAUUCCUCAUUCUAUUUUAUUUCCAAAUGACCCUCUCCACUCUUUACCUCCCAAAGUUUUUGGGUCCACAUGCUUUGUUCAUAAUUUUAGACCUGGUCUUGAUAAAUUAUCUCCUAAGUCACACAAAUGUGUCUUUUUAGGGUUCACUAGAUCACAAAAAGGAUAUAAAUGUUUCUCACCUUCUUCAAACCAUUGUUUUAUUUCAGCAGAUGUCACCUUCAGUGAAUCUUCCCUUUACUUUGAGUCUUGUCCUUCUCCUUCUAUGUCUUCAUCUAAUCAAGUUAAUAUUUCUCUUGUUGUGCCUAGUGCACCUAACGAUUCACCACCACCAUCAACUCUUCAGGUGUAUAGUCUUCGUCAAACGUCUUAUCGUCCAUCAGCUGACUCUAUUCUGGUGUCAACACCUCAUCCCCCUUCGGCUCUGACAGUUGAACCUGAUCUUCCUAUUGCUAUUCGUAAAGGUAUACGUACUACCCGUAAUCCCUCUCCAUAUUAUACUGCUUUGAGUUACCAUAGACUAUUUAACCCCUUUUGUAAAAUUUAGCAAUGUUGAGGUGAUGCCUUAGCUCAUCCUAGUUGGCGUCAGGCCAUGCUUGAUGAAAUGAAUGCGCUUCAGAAUAAUGGAACUUGGGAACUUGUUCCUUUACCAUCUAGGAAAUCUAUUAUUGGUUGCAGGUGUAUUUUUGCUAUCAAAGUUGGUCCUGAUAGUAUUAUUGAUUGUCUCAAAACUCGUCUUGUGACUAAGGGUUAUACCCAAAUUUUUAGUUUAGACUAUGGUGAUACUUUUUCUCGAGUGGAAAAGAUGGCUUAUGUUCGCUUAUUCAUAGCUAUUGCUGCUAUUCAACAAUGGUCUCUUUAUCAACUAGAUGUCAAAAAUGCUUUUCUUAAUUGGGAUUUGCAGGAAGAAAUUUAUAUGGAGCAACCUCCCGAUUUUGUUGCUUAGGGGGAGUCUUCUGGAUUGGUAUGUCGUCUUCACAAAUCCUUAUAUGACCUCAAGCAGUCUCCUAGGGUUUGGUUUGUAAAAUUUAGCAAUGUUGUUCAACAGUUUGGUAUGACUCGCAGUGAAGCAGAUCAUUCAGCUUUUUAUCGUCACUCAAGUGUUGGGUGUAUCUAUCUUGUAGAAUAUGUUGAUGACAUUGUUUUUACAGGUAGUGAUCACCAUGUCAUCUCACAAGUAAAACAACACCUUUGUCAACACUUUCAGACCAAAGAUCUUGUCAAACUCAGAUAUUUCUUGGGGAUUGAGGUAGCAUAAGCCAGUACUGGUAUUGUUAUCUCUCAAACAAAAUACGUAUUGGAUAUUUUGGAGAAAAUUAGGUUAAUGAAUUCGAAUUUGUUGAUACUCCCAUGUAUCCCAAUGUCAAGCUUCUACCCAAUCAGGGGGAGCCUCUUUCAGAUCCUGAGAAGUACAUAAGAUUAGUUGGAAAAUUGAACUAUCUCACUAUUACUCGUCCUGAUAUUUCCUUUGCAGUCAGUGUGGUGAGUCAAUUUCUUAAUUCUUUACGUGAAGAUCAUUGAAAUGCAAUCAUUGGUAUAAUGAAGUACAUUAAAGGCUCUCAUGGAAAAUGUUUGUUAUAUGGUCAUGAUAACCAUACUAAAGUUGUUUGUUAUUCAGAUGCUGAUUGAGUAGGAUCUCCAUCUGAUAGAAGAUCAACUUCCGGUUAUUGUGUCUCCAUUGGUGAUAACUUGAUCUCUUGGAAGAGCAAGAAACAAAGUGUUGUCGCAAGAUCUAGUGUAGAAGCAAAAUAUAGAGCUAUGGCCUCGGCUACUUGUGAGCUUAUUUGGCUUAAACAGUUACUUAAAGAAUUGCAAUUUGGAGAGGUCACUCAAAUGAUACUUAUAUGUGAUAAUUAGGCUACUCUUCAUAUUAGCUCAAAUCCAGUUUUUCAUGAAAAAACCAAACAUAUUGAGAUUGAUUGUCAUUUCAUUCGAGAAAAUAUAACACUAUACAAUCAAUUAAUAAAAAUAUUUUUAUUUUUAUAUAAAGAAAUAAAUAAUAUGUGGUUGAUAUUUUUUUAAAAAUUAUUACUAUUUAAUAUAAUAAAAAUAAUUAUACGGGACAUAAUCACAUUAUAUAUACAUUAUACAAUAUAUAAAGUGAAGAAGAGAAUGUGUAUACCUAAGAAGAAUGAAAGAGUUCUUUUUGUUGAAAGCAUAAAACUUUCUUCUUCUUCUUCUUUCCUACACAUAGUUACUCUUUUGGGGAAAAAGGUUCACUUCUUAGAUCCAACGUAAAUUGAGAAAGUUACAUGUUUAAUGACAUUGCGGAGAAACGUUCUUGGAUGACGUAAGUGGUUUUUCUGAACCAUUGAAGAAGAAAGGGAGAAAAGUGGGGUUUGAAGGGAAAUGUUUGGUUGAAUAACUCAAAAGAGAAUAACUCAAAAGUUGACUCUUUCAAAACUGUGAAUCAAGAAUCAAUUUUGAAUUAGGUUUGUUAGAAUAAAUGGUCUUAAACAAGAGGGGGUGAAUUGUUUAUAAGAGAUUUUCGAAAACUUUUGAAGGUUUAAUGAAACUCAAUGAAGAAAUCCAAAAGAGGAACCAAGUUAACAAAGAACACAAUCUGUUUUAAAGUGAAACACAGAAAAACAAUUGGUUGUUUCUUCGAUUCAAUCGGUUGUUUAUACUAGUAGAAAUUUAAACAACUUAAAAACAAAAUUUAAAAGAGACCAGAAAAAGAGAAAUGCAUACAAGCAGUUUAUACUGGUUCACUCUUACAACAAGAAAUACAUCAUGUUCCCAUAAACCACUGGGUAAUCCACUAAGCAAUCAAAACCAGAUUACAAACAGCACACACCAAAAUAGUGACCUUGAACCCCUCAAGAAACACACUACCUUUGGCAAACCACACAAAGAGUGUUGAUCUUGAACACCUCAAGAACACACAACACUCUCUACAAUACAACUACAUAAAUAUAGAAGAUUGAGAAAAGAAUUACACUUGAUCAAAGUACAACUGAAAAGAAUACAAUUGCAAUUCUAUUCCACUCUCACUUGAAAAUCUAAAGCUUGAUGUGAAUCUUGAAAACUUGCGAUUAAAUUUGUCAAACUGAAUUUCUCAAAAUUGUUUCUUACUCUUCAGAAACAUAUAACAAACUAUAUAUACUUCCAAAGAUUGGUUAAAACAUUUAAUGAAAGAGCAUAUUUAGUUAGAAAUCAUUUAAGAGAGAUUCACAAAUUAAAACAGAAUUGUUAGGAUUUUCAAAGAAACAAUCGGUUGAAAACACGAAACAACUGAUUGAUUUAGUUUAACAGUUAAGUCAACCAAGUCAAACAACUUUCAACCUUUUUCAAAACCUCCUAAGAACAAAACAACCGGUUGAUUCGACAAAACAACAGGUUGUCUUUCCCUUAGUUAAAAAACAUUUCAUUUUAAAAAGGUUUUCAAAUCAAAUUAGUUAUGGAUUCAAACAAGGAGUGAAUUACAAAUGAUUCUACCCCAAACCCCACACAAACACACAGCAGCAACUCCAGUCUUCCAUCAAACACCUUGGAUUUGGAUUCUUCAAAGCUCUUGAUCACUCUUGAUCAACAAUGUUUACAAUUACUCCAAAAAUCAUAGUUCAAAAUUUAAAAUUCAAAAAUUUAAAUUCAAAAUUUAAAUUUUAAAACUUAAAUUCAAAAUUUAAAUUUUAAAUUUUAUAAAAUUUAAAAUUUAAAAUUUAAAGUUUAAAAUUUAAAAUUUAAAGUUUAAAAUUUAAAAUUUAAAGUUUAAAGUUUAAAAUUUAAAGUUUAAAGUUUAAAGUUUAAAAUUUAAAAUUUAAAGUUUAAAGUUUAAAGUUUAAAAUUUAAAGUUUAAAGUUUAAAGUUUAAAAUUUAAAAUUUAAAAUUUAAAGUUUAAAAUUUAAAAUUUAAAAUUUAAAAUUUAAAGUUUAAAAUUUAAAAUUUAAAAUUUAAAGUUUAAAAUUUAAAAUUUAAAAUUUAAAGUUUAAAAUUUAAAAUUUAAAAUUUAAAGUUUAAAAUUUAAAAUUUAAAAUUUAAAAAUAAAGAAGUCACAAAAUGACAAAUAUCUCGCUCAUAUAUUUUAAAAAUAAUAAAAUAAAACAUAAGUAUAAGGAUAACAAUGAAAUAAAAUAAAAUGGUGGUUAAGAGGUGAAUCUCCUUUAUAUAUAUAUAGGUAUAGUACUUCCAGGAAAAUAAAAAUAAAUGAAAAUAUUUAUUACAAAUAUUUUUUUUUUAUUUUUACUUUUUUAUUCUAAAUUUAAACAAUUUCACUUUACUAUAUUUUUUACAUGUUUCUUUUAUUUAUUUUUUCCCGGAUCCAAACAAUUAAUCGAUGUUUAUAGAUUUUGAAUAAACAAAGAUUUAAAAGAAAAUACAAAGACUAAAAAAAUCAUCCAUUUUAAAAGAAUAAUUAAUAAUUUUAAAUACUAAAAAAUGAAAAUCUUAUUUAGAAAGAGAAAGUAUUCCUUUAUUUAAUAAAUUUAUUUGCUGAAUUUUUUCUUUUUUUAUCCUAUCAUAUUAUUUAUUACUUUUUUUUCCUUUUAAUCUACCAUGCUUCCUUUGAUCUUAUUCUUUGGUUGCUUGAAAUUUUUAUACAUAAAUUAAGAAAUAUUUAAUUAUGAAAAUUAAGCUAAUUUAUUAUUUUAUGAAUUUUUGUUAAUAAUAUUUUAUCAACCCUUUUUAUGAGAUGGUGUGUUUUUUCAUCAUUCCUCCAACAGUAUACAAAUAGUUAUUGAUACCUCACUAAAACUAAUAUUACUUACUCAUGUAUCUAUGAAAGUAUAAUUGAAAAAUAAAUAUAAAUUAUGUAUAUGCUAAAACUACUCUUAAAAAUAAAUUUGUUUACACUUGCUUUGUUGAGUGAUGAGAGAUACUACCACCACUUUACCACUUUCAUCAACAUCAAAAACACAAUGAAUUGGUUUUGUUAGCAAUCUUUGUAGGGUGAAAAAGGAAGAGCAAUUCUCCAUUCUUUAUUUUGGUUAGAGUCUUCAUCUACCGUCCUCCAUGACUUAUCACAUGUAUUCUCAAAGUGGAGAAUCUCCAAAAAUUAAAACAAACAAUUAUAAGAUCCUCAACAUAAUUAUCAUAAUUAUAAUGUCUCAUCCAUAAAUUGCAACGCACAAAGACCAUUUCUAUUGUAGGUGUACUUCUUAUACUCUAAAAAAACAAGUUUUCAAUCAUUCACAAUUCGGCAAAAAAUAAAAAUAAAAAAUUCUCCAGGAAAUAAAAUAAAUCACCGCAGAUCAAAGAACAUGUUUAUAUUCUAUACAAAAAAUUACGAUUUCUAUUAUUAUCAAAGGGAGCAAAGAGGGUAAAAGAAAGAAACCAUAAGAAACAAAAUUUAUGGAAAAGAAUUUUCGUGUUGUACAAAUUAAUAUUGGACUUGAGGGAUGCAGUUGUACACCUCAUAUACUUUUAAAUAAUAAAAUAAAACAUAAGUAUAAAGAUAACUUUAGAAUAAAACAAAAUUUGUAAAGAAUGAAAUACUUAAAAGGAUAAUCAAUCACUCACAUUGAUUAAACUAAUUUACAUUAAUGUAUAAUGAUUUUACAUAAGGAUGAUAAUGAUAUUUUUCUUAUUCUUAAUAUACUAUAAAUUUAUAUUAUUAAUAUAAAUAUACGAAUAAUAAUAUUAUUUAUUCAAAUUUUAAUAUUAAAUAUAAAUAUAUAAAUAAAAAAAAUAAAAAAUGCGAAUAGAUAUGUUGUCAGCACAGAUCUUUUGGUUCGUGGUAUCGAUGUCCAGCCAGUCUAAGUUGUUAUAAAUUGAUCGUAGUGGUCGGGUUGGGAGAAAGGGUGUUGCUAUCAAUUUUGUGAGCAGUGAUGAUGACAGGAUCCUGCUUGUAAUCCAAAAGUUUUAUAAUUAAUGUGAUGAUUGAGGAGCUGCCAGCCAUUCUAGCUGAUCUCAUUUGAUUUCAUCUCCCCUUCAUUGUUGAUUGGUAUGAUUUUUAUUACAGAGCCCUCAUAAUUACUAUUUUAUUUUAUUUCAAUGAUAUUUUUAUAUUUAUGUUUUAUUUUAUUAUUUUAAAAAUAUAUGAAAAGAGAUAUUUUUAUUUUGUGAUUUCUUUAUUUUUAAAAUUUAAAUUUUGAAUGAUUGAAAAGAUGUUUUUUUUCUCUAGAGUAUAAGGUGUACUAUUAUAACAGAAAUGGUCUUUGUGCGUUGCAAUUUAUGGAUGAGAUACCAUAAUUGGUGAAGAUCUUACAAUUGUGUGUGUUUUAAUUUUUGGAGAUUCUCCACUUUGAAGACUCUAACCAAAAUAGAGAAAGGAAAAUUGUUAUUCUUUUUUCUCUCUACAAAGAAUGCUAACAAAACCAAUUUAGUGUGUUUUUUAUGUCAAUGAAAGUGGGAAAGUAGGGGUAACAUCUCUCAUCACUCAAAAGAGCAAGUGUAAAUAAUUUUAUUUCUAAGAGUAAUUUUAGCAUAUACUUAAAUGUAUUUAUUUUCCAAUUAUACUUCCAGAUACAUGAGUAAGUAAUAUUAUUUUUAGUGAGGUAUCAAUAGUUUUUUUUUUUUUUUAAAUACUGUUGGAAGAAUGUUGAAAAAACACAUCAUCUCAUAAAAGAGUUGAUAAAAUAUUAUUAACAGAAAUUUAUAAAAUAAUAAAUUAGCUUAGUUUUCAUAAUUAAAUAUUUCUCAAUUUAUGUAUAAAAAAUUCAAGCAAUCAAUCAAUAAGAUCAAAGGAAGCAUAGAAGAUUAAAAAGAAAACCAAGCAAUAAAUAAUAUGAUAGGAUAAAAAGAGAAAAAAUUCAGCAAAUAAAUUUAUAAAAUAAAGGAAUACUUUCUCUUUUCAAAUAAGAUUUUCACUUUUUAGAAUUUAAAAUUAUUAAUUAUUCUUUUAAAAUGGGUGAUUUUCUUAGUCUUUAUAUUUUAUUUUAAUUCUUUAUUAUUCAAAAUCUAUAAACAUUGAUUAAUUGUUGGAUUGGAAAAGAAGAAAUAAAAGAAACAUGUAAAAAAAUAGUAAAGUAAAAUUGUUUAAAUUUAGAAUAAAAAAUAAAAAUGAAAAAAAAUAUUUUAUUUGUAAUGAAUAUUUUCAUUUAUCUGUUAAGUUUAUUAUAAUAAAAAUUACGUUAAUAUUAAUUACAUAAUUAAUUAUGAUUUUAAAUAUUUUAUUAAUAUUUAUGAUAUAAUAAAAUAUAAUGGAUUAAAGAAGAUGAAAAUUUGAUAAAAAAUGUUGUUUAUAAAGAUAUUUUGUUAUCUAAAAAAUCAGGUAUUUAUUUUAUUUAUGUUCCUGCUAUGGAGAUGGGACCUAGAGAACUAUUGAAGUCUUCUCUCCUUCCUUCUGUCGGUUAGGUGACUGGGUGGUGAGCUGAGAUUCUUCUCGUCCUCCUGCUUUUCCUUCGGCACUCGACCUCGGCUGAACACCGGAUGGUGGGAGUACCUGCGAAGGCACUCCGACGCUCAAGUCAGUAAAGCGGGUGGUCAACUCUCAGGUAGGUGAACAAUAGUAAAUGACAUACCUUACUCCUUGAAAUGUGUGCUAUUUAUAUUAUUCUAAUGGGCCUACCUUGUUGGGCCCGUUUAUCGAGGUGGAUACUGCUUAGGGUUGCAUUAUCUAAUUCUUAAUGAUAGAGAUUAACUUCGCUGAUCUUGGUUUGAGCGUUAACUGUAAUAUGGGUCGGCUGUCGGUCAAGUCAUCAUGGUAUGGGUCGGCCUUCGGCCAAAUUCCAGUGAUCUCGAUCGUCUCGGCCAAGUCUUCUAAGGUCUCGGCCAAGUCUUCCAAGGUCUCGGCCAAGUCUUCCAAGGUCUUGGCCAAGUCUUCCAAGGUCUCGACCAGGUAGGUCAUCGGCCUCGUCAUCCGGCCAAAUCUCUUAAGUCUCAGCCAGGUUCCCCUGGUCUCGGUCAAGUGGACUCGGCCUCGGACAGCCAGGUGGGCCUCGGCCUCGCCCAUACCGGUACAAUUUAUGUUUAUAAAGAUAAGUAUACAUGAAUAUUUUAUUUACACUAUUUGUUAUUACAUAUUAAAGAGAACAUAAUAUACAAGGAAUCCCUACAGUUAAAUGAAAAUGCAUUUACACAUUUAUCUACAAAAAUAAGUAAUUAUCAAAAAAAAAAUAUAUAUAUAUAAUAUUCAUUAAAAAAAUUUAUAAAGAUUUAAACACUUAGAAAGAUGAUCAAUUACUUCCUAAAUUAUCAUUUUACAUUAAUAUAUAAUAAUUUUACAUAAUAAUAAUAAUAUUUUUUUAUUCAUAAUGUAUUAUAAUUUAUAUUGUUAAUAUAAAUAUGCGAAUAAUAACAUUUUAUUCUAAUAAAAUAUGCCUAUUUCAAAAUUGCAGCAACGCAUUCUGGUAAACCCAAAAUUAGAGAAGUAUGCCCAUUUCAAAAUCACCGGUUUGGAGUUAAGUUCAAGUCUUGCCAGAGAAAGGCCCUGUCAGAUAAAUUUAAAAUUUAAAAUUUAAUUUUUAAUUUUAAAAAAUAAAAGAAUCAUAAAAUAAUAAAUAUCUUCUCAUAUAUAUUUUUAAAAUAAUAAAAAUAACAUUGGAAUAAAAUAAAAUGGUAAUUGAGGAUUUUUUUUUAUAUACAGAUCAUGGAAAAUGAAAUAGUGACAGAGGCCUCCAUAACAAAAAUCAUACCAAUCAACAAUGAAGGGACACGAAAUCAAAUGAGAUAAGCUACAUUGGCUGGCAGCUCCUCAAUCAUCUCAUUAAUUAUAGAACUUUUGGAUGUCAAGCAGGAUCCUCUCAUCAUCACUGCUCACAAAAUUGAUAGCAACACCCUUUCUCCCAACCCGACCACUGCAACCAAUUCGUUGGAGAUGAUAGUUAUCUGGCUGAGAUGGCAGAUCAUAAUUUAUAAGAUAUCAGCAUGUCUCAUCCCAAAGAUGACUUUUUCUUGUAGGUGAUUUUAUACUCUGAAAAAAAAAAACGUUUUCAAUCAUUCACAAUUCGAUAAAUAAUAAAAAUAAAAAAUUCUUCGAGAAAUAAAAUAAAUCACCGCAGAUCAAAAAACACGUUUAUAUUGAUACAAAAAUUUACGAUUUCUAUUAUUAUCAAAGGGAGCAAUGAGGGUAAAAGAAAGAAAUCCUAAGAAAUGACAUUUAAGAAAAAAGAACCUUUGAAUUGUACAGAUUAACAUUGACCUUGAGGGAUGCGGUUGGCGACGGUAAGAUCGACAAAGAUGAUUAACUCCUUGAUGAUGUGAUGUUGGAAGUAGCCGAAGUGAUCUUCAUUGUUGAAAGCAUUUGCAAGAAUCAUGAGAUCAUAACCUUCACGCUGGUGAUCUCCAUUGUUUUCUCUCUUGCUCUAAAUUUUCUCUGUAUAAAAAAACUCAAUAAAAGUUCAAAGAGAAUGAAAAAAAAUAGAUAAAAAAACAAAAAGUUACACAAAAUAUUCAAAUGUGUACUCGCACACAUAAUAUUGACACGAAAGCACACCUAGGAAGAAUAAAGAAGAAAGAAAAAAAAGUGCACGAAGAUACGCAAAAACAAAUCUGCAAAGAAAAUAACAAAUUUGCAGAGAAAAUAGAGGAGAAAUGAGAGACAAAUAAAUAUAAUGAUAAAUAAUAUAUAAUCAUAAAAAGUGUAACGAAGAAGUUAGGUAAAGUGAAGAAGAGAAUGUGCAUACAUAAGAAGAAUGAAAGAAUUCUUUUUGUUGAAAGCAUAAAACUUUCUUCUUCUUCUUCUUCUUCUUUUUUCAUACACAUAAUUACACUUUUGGGGAAAAUGGUUCACUUCUUAGAUCUAACGUGAAUUGAGAAAGUUACAUGUUUAAUGACAUUGCGGAGAAAGGUUCUUGGAUGACGUAAGUGUUUUUUCUGAACUAUUGAAAAAGAAAGGGAGAAGAAUGGGGUUUGAAGGGAAAUACUUGGUUGAAUAACUCAAAAGAGGGGUGACUCUCGCUUAAUUUUUGAAGUUGGGAGAGGUGAUAAAAAGAUUACUCUUUCAAUACUGUGAAUUAUGUUUACAACUACUCCAUAAUUCAAAAUUCAAAAUUUAAGAGAGAGAGGGAGAGAAAGAGAAAGAGGUGGGUGCAAACCUCAUCUCAUAAACCAAUUUUAUAAAGUUGAUUUAGAUUUAAAGUUGUCUUCUUGAUAUGGUAUCAAAGUCAUCUAAAACUUAUCCUAGCCAAAGUUUGUUGAGCUUAGCAGACCAUUGCUAUCAACUCCUCAUACAAAUCUCCCAGACAAGUAUUGAGAUGUUAUAGAUCACACAUCUAUUAAAGGUAAAAAUAUUUUAUAGUAUAUAAGUGGUGCAAAUCUAUCCUUAUAAUCCAGUCUUAUUAGGUUUUUUUAUGUUUAAAGUUUUUUUCUUACUUUUUUUUUUUUUAAUUCUGCAGGCGGUGACAGUUUCACCUUAAUCAUCCAUUAUGAUUCUUUAUUUUUUUUACCAAUAUCAAAUAAAAUAAAUAUAAUUGCGUUAUUUGAUGAUGAUGGAACUCUUGUACAUUAUGACUCUAUUAUAUUUGAUUCGGCAUUCAAUAGCAGAGGAGUCAAAAAAUUGGUCAUGGUAGUAAUACCACUUAUAUACAAAAUAGUUGGUGGUAGCUCAAAUAGUGAAUAGUUAUUUUAGCAUAGGUUUGGAAUCUAAGGUGCAAUGUUUUCUUCUACAUUGCAACAAAGAACAAUAGUCAUCUCACUGUAAUCUAAGUCCAAACAUCUGCUACUAUAUUAUGUUGUUUAUAAAGUUAAAUAACGUAUACUACAAAUAAUGAGUUUGGUUUCGAGUUUAUAACCACACACAUAAUUUUCACUAGACUUUUAUCACAUUUUAUUUAUUACGUAAAUUUAUUUUUCAAACAAUGUAUUUUGUAUUGUUAUGUGGAAUAUUUGGUAUCAAGUAUUUUAAUAUGAAUAUGUAAAAUCUGUCAAACAUAAUUUUUAAAUACCCUUGGAUCAACGCAAACUGUCUAGGUUGUGAUAUUUUUUCCAACAAGUCCACUUGUCCAUUUACGAAGAAUUAUGAAUAAAAGAUUUUGUCCUUUAAAGCAUGUGAUAAACUCUCUUGUUUUAAUUCUGUCAUUUCUGACUAGUGUGUACAAACUUUGACCAAAUCACUCCAACCUAAACAAUUUUUUAUGAAUGAUUAACACAUUAAUCUUAAACAAUUUUUAUGAAUGACUAACACAUUAAUUUCAACCUUACUCGAAUCCAAUUGAUCAUUACUUCAAUAAAUGAAAGCCUUCGUACUAAAGCUAAUCACAAACUUCAUUUAAACAUACCAAAAAAUAACAUUUUAAAUAAAAUUAUAACAAUGAUGUCAAGAAAAUCCAAUUCAAAAAUAUGUUUACGAUAAAUAUUUACUUUAUUUAAUAACAUACACUACAAGAAAAUCAUUUUGGUUGCUGUCAUAACCGUGUAGGUCCUCUGUCAUGAUGGUGCAAAUUGGUUUGUUGUUUUGUGGUUACAGCUUUAUUUUAAGCAGGUUAUGCCACAAAACGGUUGUAUCCCUAAGCCAUAAAGGGGAGAGUAACUAUGUGGUUGAUGUAUACGGGUUGGGAUACCCCUGAAGUAUCCCUCUUAAUUUUAUUUAUUUAUUGCUGAUAAAAAAAAAACACUACAAGAAAACCAUGAAAUAGAAACCAAUUUUUAGAGACUAAAAUAAUUAGUUGCAAUAGUAACUAAAUUAGAGAUCAUUUUAGAAACUUAAAAAAAUUUGUUUCUAUAUUAGUUUCUAUUAUUGUUAAAUAGUUUCUAAAUUGGUAUCUAAUUAGCAACCAAGGUUUUAGAGACCAAAUUUAGAAACUAAAUAAUUGGUAGUUAAAAGUUUGGUUGUUAAUUAGAUACCAAUUUAGAAACUAUUUNNNNNNNNNNNNNNNNNNNNNNNNNNNNNNNNNNNNNNNNNNNNNNNNNNNNNNNNNNNNNNNNNNNNNNNNNNNNNNNNNNNNNNNNNNNNNNNNNNNNUUACAAUUAGUAUUAAUAUUAAUAUUAAUAUUAAAAUUAAUACUAUUAUUAUUAAUAUUAUUAUUAAAAUUAUUAUUAUUAUUAUAAUUAUUAUUAAUAUUUUUAUUAUUAUUGUAAUUCCUACUAUUAUUAUGAAUACUAUUUUAAUUAUUAUUAUUGAUAUUAUUACUAAUAUUAUUAUAAUUACUAUUACUAUUAUUAAUAAUGUUAUUAUAAUUAUUGUCACUAUUAAUAUUAAUAAUUUUAAUAAUAAUGUCAAUAAGAAUAGUAAUAAUAAUAUUAUUAAUAAUAAUAAUUCAAAAUUGCACUUAAAUAUAAAUCAACACAGUAAGAAAAACAAAUUUUACACUAAAAGAUUUGCAACGACAUAGAAAGUUAAAGAAAGAAAGAAAAGAAGACCCUUAAAGAAAACUACAACAAAAAAGAAUUAGUUUUUUUUUCCUAAAAUUUCAAUAAAUUAAGGAUUUUUCCGAAUAAAAUAUUAAUAUUUAGUAAAAGUUGUAGACUGCAUAGUUGUUAAAGAAUCAUUUUCGUAUUUUUUUUCCUGCUUUGUUUCUCUUCUCGUUACAUGUUUUCCCACUCUCAUUACUUCUUUUUCAUUUUUAUAAUCAACUGGAAAAAAAUGUGGCACUGAUGACCAAUUUGUUAGAGACACCCAAACAAUGAACACGAUAAUGUGCAAAUAUUUGUGCAUAAGUUUUACUUAUUAUGUGGGAAAAUACUUCUAUGUAAUCUUCCUUGCCCCUCAAUAUUUCAUCAAAAAAUUGUUUAGCUUCGUCAACUCUUUUAAAUAUGACAUGGACUUUUUAUUUAUUUAGAUUAUGCCAUCUUAAAUGUAUUUUUAGAGUAUGUAAUUUAAAAUAUAUUUUUAAAUUGUUUAAUAUAAGAUUAUUUAACUAAACUAUGAGGAUCAAAUGUAUCGUGAAACUCAAUUCGUUCUCUUUCAAUUGAAUAAAACAGAAUUUAACCUAUUGUUUAUAUUAGUUAAGUAAAAGUAGUUUGUAUAUUUUUUUUAUAUAGAAAACUCGAGAUGUCUUUUAGAGAAUAGUUUUGACAAACUGUUUUAAAGAGCUCUUGCUAAAGUUUUUCUUGAAGCUUUUCUUUUCUUUGUUCUUCAUUGUCCAGGUUUUAUUUGUUUGUGUCUGAGUAACUUUUAGGGUUAUCAAGGUGGAAGGGUUUCAAAAUCAGUGUACUCAUUUGAUUCUUGUAAGAGUUUGUAAGAAAUAGAUUGAUUUAUUAUUAAACAACUAAAUAUAAUAUAAAUUUUUGUUUUUCUUGAACUUUAUUUCUUACACAUUUGAAUACUUAGUUAUAUUGCUUGGUUAUUUUGAAUAUAAAAAAAUAGGUACUAUAUCUUUAAACCUUAUUCUGGAAAGAACAUUCUAGAAUGAGUUUUUUUUUCGCUCUUCUUCUUCCUAUGCGGUGCUUUCCUUUCCUUUUCUUCUGCAGCGGUGAUGAUGCGACAAGAGUGAGAAUGGUGACGAAAGUGGUAAGGUAUAGUGAGGUUGAAGCUAAUAAAAGACAAUUCAAUCAUCUCAUACAACUAUGGGAUUGCAGGUUGAAAAAUGGGGAGCUGCAAAAAACAAAAGUCUUUCUCAUGAAGUGUUUCUGGAUUACUCUAGAGGCCCACUAUUUCGUUUUGACUGCUUCUUCCUGCACCUCCAUCUCCAUAUGUUCUUGUGUCACCUCCCUACAAAAUCUGAAAAUAUUUUAUUUAUCUUUCUUAUACCACGUCUAUAGAUUUAUAAAAUCCAGAGGGCAAUUAAAAUAAAAUAAUAUAUAUAUAUAUAUAUUAUGAAUUACAUCAUUCAGGAGCUAAUCUCGGAUUUGGAAAUAACUUACAAAUUAUGUAAUUUCAAAAUAUAUUUUUAAAAAAUGAUAUUUUUUAUUACAUAAUCUGGAAAUAGCUUCCGGAUGAUGUAAUCCAAAAGUUUUUUUUCUAGAUUUGAGAGUAGCCUCUGGAUUAUGUAAUUUGCAAUAUAUUCGGAUUACAUAAUUUAGAAGGUACUCUCAAAUGUAGAAAGACUUUCCGAUUAUAUAAUCUAGAAACUAAUCACACAUAUGAAAAAAGGCUUCUGGAUUAUAUAAUCUGUAAGGUAAUCUCAUAUUCGAAAAAACUUCCAAAUUAUGUAAUCCAUAAACUAAUCACGCAUUUGAAAAAAGACUUUCAGAUCACAUAAUCUAAAAACUAAUUACAAAUUUGGAAAAAGAUUUCCAAAUUAUGUAAUCCAGAAUAUUAAAAGGGACAUUUUUGAGAUACACAAAUUUAUAGAGGUGAGAAAAGAACAUAUGGAAGAGUAGGAAGAAACAAUCUUUAAUUUUUUACUUAGUGAAGUCAUCAUUUUUUAAGAGCAAUUACUUUCUGCACCAUAUAACUGCACCCUAUUCUAAUGUAAAAAGAUGAAAAAGACCUAAAUAAAAUAAAACGAGGAUACAUAUACAAAUAUAUUUUGGUCUCCCUUUUUCAUAAUAUGUUUCUAAUUUUUUUUUCCAUAACGAAUUUGUUUUGCAGAUUUUUGUUUUCCAUAAUGGGAUUUGAUUUUUUGAAUUCUAUUCUUAAUUUUUAUUUUUAAAAUACAAUAAUCUCUUCCAAAUUCACUUUUCUAAAAUACAACAAUCUCUUAUGAAAUGAAAGAUAUUUUCAAAAAUUUAAAACUAUGUAGUAUACAGGAUUAAAAAAAUUGGGUAUAGAAAGAAUUUUCCUAUUUAAAGCCUUAAAAUUUGUAGUGUAGAGCAGACUAUUUGACUAAAUUAGAUAUUAUUUUAUAAAUUAAAAAAAUUAUUGGUAUCUAAAGUAAUUUUUAUUAUUAAUAAAAUUUAUAAAAUAAUUUUUAAAUUGAUAUCUAAUUAUUACUUACCAAAAUUUUAGUUAAUUAUUAUUUUAUAUUCUAAAUUUGCCUCAAUUAGUUUUUUAUAAACUAAUUUAAAAAAUCUAAAAUAAUAAUAGUUAAAACCUUGGUAUCCAAUAUUGAUACCAAUUCAAAAACCAUUUUAUAAAUUUUUUAUUUUAACAAUAAAAAUCACUUUAGAUACAACUAAUUUUUUAAUCUAUAAAAUAGUAUAUAAUUUAGUCAAUAUAGUGAUUAAUUAUUUUUAGUCUCCAAAUUAUUUUUAAUUUUUUUAGUGAAUGUUAUGAUAACUUUUUUUUAUCCUAAAUAAUAGUCUGUUCUAAAAAAAAUAUUUAAGUAAAAAGAUAUUAAAUAAUUAAAAAACUUUAAAAUUAAAUAUUUACUAUUUAUAAAUAUAUAAAAAAUCAUAAUGUAAAAAAAUAUUAAAAUAGAAAAUACAUAAAUUUAAAUUUUUAUUUAUAAGUAAAUGUAAGUCUAAAUAAAUACAAAUUAUUCAUAACUGAAGAUAAUAGAGUUUAAUUAUUGAACCCGUUAAAUUUAUUAAUAUUGGAAUAUAAUCAAUUUUCAAACAUCAAUAAUAUAUAUAUUAUGAUAUUAAUGAAAUAAUAAAUAAAAAUAUUUAACAUAUACACUAUUAUUUAUGGAAAAAAAAAAUUAUACGCACGGUCACAUUAUUCCGCUUUAUGGUUCUCGCAGAGUAAAUUUUAUUUGACCUUUGUACUCGCAUUGUCCUCGCUAUGUGUAAUAAAGAAAAAAAUUACAUAAUAAAAUAUAAAAAAAGUGAAACAAAUGUAGUAGAAAAUUAUGAAAUUGAAACAAACACAUUUAAAUCAAUGCAAAAACUAAAUCAACUAGUCAAUAGUAACUAUUUUUUUUUAUAAUAAUUAACAUUUAUUUUCAAAGUUACCUUCAGUUUGGUUUUAUUGAUGCUUUUAUUACUAUAUACAGACAGCAAUUUCUUCCUGCACCUCCACACUUUCUUCUUGCACCUCCUCCAGAGAAGACAUGAAAUGAAAUGACAAUUUCCUUUUCUUCAUCUUUUUUAUUGGCACCCAUCUUCGGAACUCUAGAAUUCGGAAUAUAAAUUUGUACUUCAAAUUUUAGAGUUCGAAAUGUUACCAGAAAAUCAUUAAAUAGAAAUCAAUUUUAGAUACAAAAAAUAAUUAGUUGUUAUAGUCACUAAAUUAUAAAUCAUUUUAGAGACUAAAUUUUGUUUUGGUUUCUAAAUUAGUUUCUAUUAUUGUUAAAUAGUUUCUAAAUUGGUAUCUAAUUAGCUACUAAGAUUUUUGCUACCAAAUUUAGAUUUUAAAUAACUGGUAGUUAAAACUUUGGUCGUUAAUUAGAUACCAAUUUAGAAAGUAUUUAACAAUAAUAAAAACUAAUUUAGAAACCAAAAUUUUUUCUAGUUUCUAAAAUGGUAUCUAAUUUAGUUACUAUAUCAACUAAUUAUUUUUUGUUUCUAAAUUUGAUUUCUAUUUCAUGAUUGUCUUGUAGUGUUGUAUUUGAUAUAUUCUGAACUAUAAAAUUUAGAAUAAUACAAUACAAAAUUGUAUUAUGAAUUUUAGAAUUUGUAAGGUCUAUGGAUUAUACAAUUCAGAAAUGAAAAAAGAAAAAACAGAUCCUACACCUUUUGUCCAAUGGUAAUUUUGGAAUUGAAAUAUUUAUGGAGGACAGGAACAAAAUAUGGAGGUGCAGAAAGAAAUUCACGUGUUCACUAAACAUAUGGUAUUGCUGGAUACUAUGGAUUUUUCUGUUUGGAAUUUAUCCACAUGCUUUUGGCUUAAUCAUGCAUUAAUUUGGUGCUAAACAAGGUUGGGUUAUGUAGUGGAGGUUUCUUAAUGACUACAAUUAGGUAAGAUGUUGGUGAUUAUUUAUAUACCAAGGUUUUAGGUACUAAUUGCUUUAGAUUAUAAAUUAUUUAGUAAUUUAAUUAAAGGCUAAUUUAGAAUCUAAAGUAGUUAGUAGUAGUCAAAACUUUGGUAGUUAAUAUUAGAUACCAAAUUAUAAACAACUUUGGAUACUAAUAAUUUUUAGUUUAUAAAAUAAUAUCUAACUUAAUUAAUACUGUGAUUAAUUAUUUUUGGUCUCUAAAUUAGUUGUUAUUUGAUCAUUUUCUUGUAGUGUUAUAAAAUAGUAUCUAAGUUAUUUAUUAUAAAGCCUAAUUAUUUUUUCUCUCUAAAUUAAUUGAUAUUUAAUAAUUUUCUUGUAAUGAUAAGAAUACAAAUAGUUUGAAUGUAUGACAAUUAAUUAAGACCGCAUGGUUCAAAUUGUAGAAAAGAAAAAACACAUUGACAACAAAAAUGAGAAGUAUGAUUGUGAAAUGAAGAGUGAUAUCAUUUAACAAUUUAAACAUUCGCAACAUAAAUGAAAUCCCAAAUGUAAAAGUAAAAUUAAAUAAUGAAUGGAAUGAAUAAUGCUCAAUUCUCUUUUGUGAUAGUCCACUCUUAUUUUGUAAACCGAACAAUAAAAUUUUAUAAAAAUACCAAGACUAUAGUGUGCAACCAUUUCAAAGCAUAAUUUCUAAGAUCAUUUCAACGCAUACUUUACAAGACCAGGAAUGUGUGUGUUCAUCAUGUAGUCUUUCCAAUUGAUGCUAUUAGGGUCAAAGUUCAAUCCAGCAGCAACCUCAAUGUUAUUACUUGUUGCUCUUCGUAAAUUUUGUGUGUUUGAAUCAUCAAAGCUGAAACCGAAAGUAAUUUGUAUGAGAAUGAUGGUUACGAACAAAAGUAGUUCAUGUACCAUGUCUAGUAAUUAUAGACAAGGAAAAACACGUACACGCCCUUAAAAAACAGGUAUGGUUUGUAUACUUCAACUAGUCGUGUCACCCUUUUGAAUUUUUUGUAGCUAUCGUCAUAAACAUCUCGAGAGCAUUGACAAAACGCUUUGUUCACCACAUUUAAGACCUAAAUAUAUCAAACCCAUGCACAAAGAUCAACAUGAAACCUUAAAAGAUUAGCAAAACAUAUUAUUGUAGUUUUGCUUCAUUAUUUAGUUAAACUUGGUAGUCAAUAAACCUUUAGUGGAAAAACAUAUCGAAUUGUCAUGUAAAUGUCGAAAACAGCCCUACUUGAUAUCAAAUUUGGCUUGGGCACUAUUAUUGGCUUUCCAUUUUUGUUUUUCAACGCGAAUUUAAUGAAAUAAUGAUAGCAGUAAUCAUGAACAUCAGCAAUUCUGAAUGGAUUUCUUAAUGAUGAUGAUAUGUGGUAGACGAAAUUCUUGGGAGUUUGAUUUGAAAAAGCAAUAAUUGCUGUCAUCAUACAAUUGAUAACCAUGUCUGCAGGUAUCUGCAUAUAAUAUUACAUAGUAGUUAGUAUAUACACAAAACUGAACUAGUAAUUUUUUUUUCAACAAAAUCAUGUUAUAAGGUAAAUAUUUUUAUAACAAAAAAAAUAAAAUUUAGUGAGUUAUUCUUUAGACAUCCAUAGAUGUUUUGCAAAACAAACCAAUGCUUUUUAGAUAUAUAAAAGAACACAUUAAAUGAUAAGUAGUUUAAACUUUUGAUGUUUUAUUUUUUACAUAAUCAUUUAAGUAUCGAUUAAUACAUAUAACCAAAACUAAAUUUAUACAUUUAACUUACCGUAUCCAAAAUUGUCUUGGGAUGACCAAGAAAGUUUGUUAUUUUCCCUUGACCAUAACUACAUAUUAUGCUGUCGAGAGUUCUGCAAAUACAAAAUAAAUAAAUUUAUAAUUUCUCUUAAAGAAAAUCUUGAACAUGAUGAAAUAAACUCUAAAAGUUUAACUUUAAGUAGAAUUGAUAAAUUAAGAGUUUAUUUUGUUGUCUAGGAAGUGGAAUAAUUGGAAUGAAAUACACAUUUGAGACAAUGUUAAAAAUAUUUACCUCAAGCCUUCAAUCCAACCAGGAAAUGGGUCCUUAAGGGUACUAGUAACCAUGGUGGGACGUAUAAUGAUUAGUGGAACAUUAUCUUUAUGAUGAACCAAUUGCAUCUCUCCCAUUGCUUUUGUGAAUGCGUAUGUAUUUGGCCAACCAUACAAAUUUGCUCUGAUACAUCACAAAAAUAAUUUCAUUUAUAGAUUAAUGAAUAUCAGCGUUAUAACAAAAUAAGAAUUUGAUGUACCUUUCAAUUCCAUAAUCUUUCAAUGCAUUUUUUAUUGUGCUUUCAGUAGCAUUCUUUGAUCGAAGUUCAUCUAUCUUCUUCUUCAACAAAUUCAUUUCUUCAGUUAUGUCUAAUUUCGAGGACUUUUUCAAGGUCUGACCCAUCUCAAAGGGUUUCUCUUGCACAAUUGUUUUUUCAUCCUUAAUCUCUCCACACACGUAUGCUAACAUUUAUUCAUACCAAAAAAUGUGUUAUUAAUGGAAAUUGGCUUAAUGGUAACUGAAUAAUGUUUUGGUAAAUAUAGUAACCUAUAUUACAUUAUGAUCAAGUUAUAAUCAACUACAAUUACCAGUUGAUAUUUGCAUAAAAAUCUUUAUCUCAGGACAAUGCUUUGCGAAGUUUAAGACGUGUAAGACACCCAUUGUAUUUACAUCUAUUGAGAUGUCAAAUCUGUAGAAAAAUAAUAAUGAAUCAAAAUAUGAAGAAGAAAAAAUUAUUGGUUCCUACUAGAUAAUUUACCUCUCGUCAAAUUUGGUAGUUGCUGCAAAAUUUAUAAUAAUGUUGAUCUCUUCAAACAUCUUAAUCUUGAGCUUUUCAUCUUCCAAACCAAAAUUAUGGAGAGAAACAUCUCCUGAUAUGACCACAAUCUUCUUUAAAAUGAAAGAAUCAAAAUCUUUGCCCCAUUGGUCUCGUAACACUCUAAAUAAAUAUGUGCGAAUGACCUGUAAUAUGAUCAUUAAAGAAAUGCAUGAAUGCCACAAUUCAAUAUGAAUAACUGAAAAUGAGUCAAUGAUAAAAUUUAGUAAGAAAAUUGAUUUUUCAUUAUCCCGAGGUUAAAAGGUGUUGAGUGAAAGAGGGGGAAGAUAGAAAAUUGGGAUCAUGCGAGAAGCAAAGGACACCUUCUUCUUCUCGCACUUCCCAAUUAAUUUUGGAGGAAAAGAUAUGGGAAGAAUUUUUAAAGGUGGGAGUGAAUAUAAGAGAUCUUUAGAUAUAUCGAAAAUCUUAACAUGAAAGGACAAAAAUUUGGUUUGAUCAAGUUUUAUUGAUGUUGCGAACAUCACAAAAAUUGGGAGGAGACUUGAAAAUAUAUGGGAUGAGAAUAGGAAUAUACACCUCAAUCGACUAAGAUAGUGUAGGCAUGGAGAUUCAACCCGAGAUAGUUCGAGAAGGGCACAAAAUGGUAAAAGAUAGUAUGAAGGGUAUAAGUUUGGAAGAGAAAGCAAGGGAAAAAUAUGUAUGUGCAAGGUGUAAUACUAUGUUUGUUUAUGGAUACAUAUUGUUUACGCAGAUGGAUUUGAGGGAAAGUCACAUAUUUGUAUUAGUUGAUUAGCGAGGAAAUAUGAGUGUAGAUGUGAGAGGAAAGGGUCAAGGAAGUGUCACCCUCAAGUGUGAAGAAAUAGAGGGAAAGUCAAUUGGACGUGCAUGAGAAGACCAAAGUGCCCUUCACUUUUACACUAUGCAUGAUAGAGAUUCAUGAUCUACACAUUGGCCAUGCAUGCAAAGAUUCCUAAACGAGGCAAAUAGUCCUUUGACUAUUGAAGUUGAGUGUUUGAAAACUCCAUUAAAUACUCGUGAAUGGAUUUGGUAAAGCUUCCCAUUUUCGUUCUUCUUUGGAAAACUUGGUGGUUGUUCGUGUGAGAUGAGUUUGUGGUGUGUGUGAGCUGCAUGUGAGUUGAGGUGGUGGAGUUUUGUUUGAAGGAAGUUGUUGUUCGUGGAGGUGUUUUCGUGCACUUGCAUGUGGAAGGGUGGUUGUUGGAGUUUGUUGGAAGUGUAGAGAUAAGGUGUCAUGGCUGAAAGAAAUGACAAU
rnacentral:lncRNA from 1 species